AGCUAUAGCGCCAUGCACCUUAAAAGGGACCGAUAUGCUUUUAAGGUUAACGAGGAGGAGAGAGAAUCGAACAUUCGGCGGAUGCUCUCCCAUGCGGUCCGGGCGUGUGACAUGCUGUAAAAUAUGCGGGUGACCGCAGAACAAAGACGGCAUGA
rnacentral:ncRNA from 1 species